rnacentral:rRNA from 1 species
UACGGAGGGUGCGAGCGUUGUCCGGAAUCACUGGGCGUAAAGGGCGCGUAGGCGGCUGGGGAAGUCGGCGGUGAAAGCCCGGAGCUCAACUCCGGGUCGGCCGUCGAGACUCCUCGGCUCGAGCUCACUAGAGGCAGAGUGGAAUUCCGGGUGUAGCGGUGGAAUGCGUAGAGAUCCGGAAGAACACCGGUGGCGAAGGCGGUCUGCUGGGGUGAGGCUGACGCU